ACAGCAGCAGCCGCGGUAAUACGUAGGGUGCAAGCGUUAAUCGGAAUUACUGGGCGUAAAGCGUGCGCAGGCGGUUCGUUAAGACAGAUGUGAAAUCCCCGGGCUCAACCUGGGACCUGCAUUUGUGACUGUAUAGCUAGAGUACGGUAGAGGGGGAUGGAAUUCCGCGUGUAGCAGUGAAAUGCGUAGAUAUGCGGAGGAACACCGAUGGCGAAGGCAAUCCCCUGGACCUGUACUGACGCUCAUGCACGAAAGCGUGGGGAGCAAACAGGAUUAGAUACCCCGGUAGUCCCUGUCUCUUAUAC
rnacentral:rRNA from 1 species